rnacentral:rRNA from 1 species
UCAUGAUGAACGCUGGCGGCGUGCUUAACACAUGCAAGUCGAACGAUGAAGCCCAGCUUGCUGGGUGGAUUAGUGGCGAACGGGUGAGUAACACGUGAGUAACCUGCCCUUAACUCUGGGAUAAGCCUGGGAAACUGGGUCUAAUACCGGAUAGGAGCGUCCACCGCAUGGUGGGUGUUGGAAAGAUUUAUCGGUUUUGGAUGGACUCGCGGCCUAUCAGCUUGUUGGUGAGGUAAUGGCUCACCAAGGCGACGACGGGUAGCCGGCCUGAGAGGGUGACCGGCCACACUGGGACUGAGACACGGCCCAGACUCCUACGGGAGGCAGCAGUGGGGAAUAUUGCACAAUGGGCGMAAGCCUGAUGCAGCGACGCCGCGUGAGGGAUGACGGCCUUCGGGUUGUAAACCUCUUUCAGUAGGGAAGAAGCGAAAGUGACGGUACCUGCAGAAGAAGCACCGGCUAACUACGUGCCAGCAGCCGCGGUAAUACGUAGGGUGCGAGCGUUAUCCGGAAUUAUUGGGCGUAAAGAGCUCGUAGGCGGUUUGUCGCGUCUGUCGUGAAAGUCCGGGGCUUAACCCCGGAUCUGCGGUGGGUACGGGCAGACUAUAGUGCGUAGGGAGACGGAAUCUGUGUGCGGUGGAUCGCAAUAUCAGGAGGAACACCGAUGGCGAAGGCAGGUCUCUGGGCUGUAACUGACGCUGAGGAGCGAAAGCAUGGGGAGCGAACAGGAUUAGAUACCCUGGUAGUCCAUGCCGUAAACGUUGGGCACUAGGUGUGGGGACCAUUCCACGGUUUCCGCGCCGCAGCUAACGCAUUAAGUGCCCCGCCUGGGGAGUACGGCCGCAAGGCUAAAACUCAAAGGAAUUGACGGGGGCCCGCACAAGCGGCGGAGCAUGCGGAUUAAUUCGAUGCAACGCGAAGAACCUUACCAAGGCUUGACAUGUUCUCGAUCGCCGUAGAGAUACGGUUUCCCCUUUGGGGCGGGUUCACAGGUGGUGCAUGGUUGUCGUCAGCUCGUGUCGUGAGAUGUUGGGUUAAGUCCCGCAAAGAGCGCAACCCUCGUUCCAUGUUGCCAGCACGUCGUGGUGGGGACUCAUGGGAGACUGCCGGGGUCAACUCGGAGGAAGGUGAGGACGACGUCAAAUCAUCAUGCCCCUUAUGUCUUGGGCUUCACGCAUGCUACAAUGGCCGGUACAAUGGGUUGCGAUACUGUGAGGUGGAGCUAAUCCCAAAAAGCCGGUCUCAGUUCGGAUUGGGGUCUGCAACUCGACCCCAUGAAGUCGGAGUCGCUAGUAAUCGCAGAUCAGCAACGCUGCGGUGAAUACGUUCG